rnacentral:rRNA from 1 species
UAGAGCACUGAAUGGGCUAGGGGGCCACAAAGCUUACCGAACCCUAUCAAACUUCGAAUACCGGAUAAUUGAUGAUCGGGAGUCAGACAGUGUGAGAUAAGUUUCAUUGUCGAAAGGGAAACAGCCCAGAUCUACGACUAAGGUCCCAAAGUUCAAGUUAAGUGGAAAAGGAUGUGCAAUUGCGUAGACAACCAGGAUGUUGGCUCAGAAGCAGCCAUUCAUUCAAAGAGUGCGUAAUAGCUCACUGGUCGAGUGAUUGUGCGCCGAAAAUGUAACGGGGCUAAACUUGACACCGAAGUCUAGGCAGAAGGAAACUUCUGGGUAGGGGAGCAACGUGUACGGGCAGAAGCAGAAGCGGAAGCGACUGUGGACUGUACAGGAGAGAGAAUGCCGGCAUGAGUAGCGAGAGCAAAGUGAGAAUCUUUGCCGUCGAAAGCCUAAGGUUUCCUGAGGAAGGCUCGUCCUCUCAGGGUAAGUCGGGACCUAAGCCGAGGACAAUAGUCGUAGGCGAUGGACAAUCGGUUAAUAUUCCGAUACCGCCGAGCAACCGGAUGCAGUGACACAGAAGGAUAGGCAGAGCGUGGCGAUGGUAGACCACGUCCAAGCAGUGAGGCUGUUGUGUAGUGAAGUACGCACAACGGAAGGCUGGGCUGUGAUGGGGAACGAUUACGAUCGGUAAGCUGCUGAAUUCACGCUGGCGAGAAAAGCUGCUACGAAGCGAAGGCGCCCGUACCGCAAACCGACACAGGUAGGCGAGGAGAGAAUCCUAAGACGAGCGGGAGAACCCUUGUUAAGGAACUCGGCAAAAUGACUCCGUAACUUAGGGAGAAGGAGUGCCCAGGAAUGGGCCGCAGAGAAUAGACCCAAGCGACUGUUUACCAAAAACACAGGUCUGUGCGAAGUAGAGAUACGACGUAUACGGGCUGACGCCUGCCCAGUGCCGGAAGGUUAAGGGGAAGUGUUAGGGCAACCGAAGCACGGAACUUAAGCCCCGGUGAACGGCGGCCGUAACUAUAACGGUCCUAAGGUAGCGAAAUUCCUUGUCGGGUAAGUUCCGACCCGCACGAAUGGCGUAACGACUUGGGCACUGUCUCAACAAGGGACCCGGCGAAAUUGUAGUAUGUGUGAAGAUGCACAUUACCCGCGAUAGGACGGAAAGACCCCGUAGAGCUUUACUGUAGUUUAACAUUGGAUUUUGAUAACACAUGUACAGGAUAGGUGGGAGGCUGAGAAACCGGCACGCCAGUGCCGAUGGAGCCGCUGUUGGGAUACCACUCUUGUGUUAUUGGAGUUCUAACGAAGUGCCGUAAACCGGGCUUCGGACAGUGUUAGAUGGGCAGUUUGACUGGGGCGGUCGCCUCCGAAAGAGUAACGGAGGCGUCCAAAGGUUCCCUCAGAAUGGUUGGAAACCAUUCAAAGAGUGCAAAGGCAGAAGGGAGCUUGACUGCGAGACCGACAGGUCGAGCAGGUACGAAAGUAGGGCUUAGUGAUCCGGCGGUAUGAGAGUGGAAUUGCCGUCGCUCAACGGAUAAAAGCUACCUCGGGGAUAACAGGCUUAUCUCCCCCAAGAGUCCACAUCGACGGGGAGGUUUGGCACCUCGAUGUCGGCUCGUCGCAUCCUGGGGCUGGAUUAGGUCCCAAGGGUUUGGCUGUUCGCCAAUUAAAGCGGCACGCGAGCUGGGUUCAGAACGUCGUGAGACAGUUCGGUCCCUAUCCAUCGUGGGCGCAGGAGAUUUGAGAGGAGCUGUCCUUAGUACGAGAGGACCGGGAUGGACGCACCAAGGGUGAAUCAGUUGUCGUGCCAACGGCACAGCUGGGUAGCCAAGUGCGGAUCGGAUAAACGCUGAAGGCAUCUAAGCGUGAAGCCGACCUCAAGAUAAGAUCUCCCAUCCGAAAGGAGUAAGACCCCAUGAAGACCACAUGGUUGA